UACGUAGGGGGCAAGCGUUGUCCGGAUUUAUUGGGCGUAAAGAGCGUGUAGGCGGCUAGAUAGGUCCGUUGUGAAAACUGGAGGCUUAACCUCCAGACGUCGACGGAAACCGUAUGGCUAGAGUCCGGAAGAGGAGGGUGGAAUUCCUGGUGUAGCGGUGAAAUGCGCAGAUAUCAGGAAGAACACCAAUGGCGAAGGCAGCUCUCUGGGACGGUACUGACGCUGAGACGCGAAAGCGUGGGGAGCGAACAGG
rnacentral:rRNA from 1 species